rnacentral:rRNA from 1 species
AAAUUGAAGAGUUUGAUCAUGGCUCAGAUUGAACGCUGGCGGCAGGCCUAACACAUGCAAGUCGAGCGGUAGCACAGAGAGCUUGCUCUCGGGU